rnacentral:rRNA from 1 species
UACGUAGGGGGCAAGCGUUGUCCGGAAUCAUUGGGCGUAAAGAGCGUGUAGGCGGCUCGAUAAGUCUGCUGUGAAAGUCCAGGGCUCAACCCUGGAAGGCCGGUGGAAACUGUCGGGCUAGAGUACGGGAGAGGCGAGUGGAAUUCCUGGUGUAGCGGUGAAAUGCGCAGAUAUCAGGAGGAACACCGAUUGCGAAGGCAGCUCGCUGGAACGUUACUGACGCUGAGACGCGAAAGCGUGGGGAGCAAACAGG